AUUGAACGCUGGCGGCAUGCCUUACACAUGCAAGUCGAACGGCAGCACGGGUGCUUGCACCUGGUGGCGAGUGGCGAACGGGUGAGUAAUACAUCGGAACAUGUCCUGUAGUGGGGGAUAGCCCGGCGAAAGCCGGAUUAAUACCGCAUACGAUCUACGGAUGAAGGCGGGGGACCUUCGGGCCUCGCGCUAUAGGGUUGGCCGAUGGCUGAUUAGCUAGUUGGUGGGGUAAAGGCCUACCAAGGCGACGAUCAGUAGCUGGUCUGAGGACGACCAGCCACACUGGGACUGAGACACGGCCCAGACUCCUACGGGAGGCAGCAGUGGGGAAUUUUGGACAAUGGGCGAAAGCCUGAUCCAGCAAUGCCGCGUGUGUGAAGAAGGCCUUCGGGUUGUAAAGCACUUUUGUCCGGAAAGAAAUCCUUGGCCCUAAUACGGUCGGGGGAGGACGGUACCGGAAGAAUAAGCACCGGCUACUACGUG
rnacentral:rRNA from 1 species